UUUAUUACAGAAGUUCUUGCAAAGACACAAAAAUUCAUACGACCACUGGCUUGGCCUUCGAAGACAGUCCGAGCAGCACAGUUGGAAGUGGGCUGAUAACACGGAGUUCAGCAACUUGGUGAAGGUGCAAGGGGUCGGGCAGUGCGCCUAUCUGAACGCGGUUGGAAUCAGCAGCGGGAGGGUCUACCUGGAGAGGAGGUGGAUCUGCAGCAAGCUGAGCAGCUACGCACAGUGCGGGGCGCCCGCGAGCUCUGUCCUAUCCGGUCCCUCCUGACAGCCCUGCAGCUGUGCAUGUGCUCCAGCCUGAGGGUUACAUAUAACCUACCGGCCCCGCCCCUCAGCUCCCAUUGGCUGACGUCGGGCCCCUCGGCUCC